rnacentral:misc_RNA from 1 species
AUUUUGAGGAAAAUUAAAGAAAACUAUUUAUUAUUUUAAGAGAUUUUGAAAAGAGUGUUUGCCACUUCUGAUUUUAGAGAUUUAAGGCUCGGGGUCCGUAUAUGUAUGGGAAAGGUGUUAGGCAUCCAAUAUCGUCCCUCGGUGAGGAGAAGUAAAUUUAAAGAUGUGCUCUUUAUAAUUUAAUGCCUAUAAUUUUAUUAGAGUUUAAAUUAUGAUAUUGGUUAUUUAAAUUUGCUGAAG